rnacentral:lncRNA from 1 species
GCCUCCGCCUCCGCCAUGGCAGAACACGGCUCUCGCCGGUUGCCAUCGUUUCUUGGCCGUUCUCGGCCCUAGAACAGGUCGGCAGAGGUCACUCCUCCACUGCAUGUGCCGUCUUCGACCGUUUGAGAAGCCGAGCGUCGCCGCGCCGCUUCCCCUGUCCUCCGCCGUGGCCGGAAAGAUAAGUCCUUCCUUCCCUCUCUUCUUUUUUUUUUUUACUACUAAAAGCCCUAAACUUUCUCUCCCUCUCUCUUCUCUUUCCCAUCCCCCUCUUUUUUUCUAAAAGCCCUAAUUUCUCCCCUGUUCCCUCUCGUUUGGCAGAAAAAGGAAAAACCGGCGGCUCACUGCCGCGCCGUCCCCGUUGCCGGCCGAGAAGGCAGAGAAACAAGAAUUGACCUCCCAAAUUCCCAAUUUCAGUUAUACACACAAGCAAGAUUAGGGUUUUCAAUUCUGUUCAUUUUCUUAUCAAAAUCAGAUCUGUAAUUUAAACAUUCAUGUUUUGCAAUCAUAUGGUGAGAUAUGUAUAUAUGUGUAUGUAA